rnacentral:rRNA from 1 species
GAUGAACGCUGGCGGCGUGCCUAAUACAUGCAAGUCGAGCGAACGGACGAGGAGCUUGCUUCUCUGAUGUUAGCGGCGGACGGGUGAGUAACACGUGGAUAACCUACCUAUAAGACUGGGAUAACUUCGGGAAACCGGAGCUAAUACCGGAUAAUAUUUUGAACCGCAUGGUUCAAAAGUGAAAGACGGUCUUGCUGUCACUUAUAGAUGGAUCUGCGCUGCAUUAGCUAGUUGGUAAGGUAACGGCUUACCAAGGCAACGAUGCAUAGCCGACCUGAGAGGGUGAUCGGCCACACUGGAACUGAGACACGGUCCAGACUCCUACGGGAGGCAGCAGUAGGGAAUCUUCCGCAAUGGGCGAAAGCCUGACGGAGCAACGCCGCGUGAGUGAUGAAGGUCUUCGGAUCGUAAAACUCUGUUAUUAGGGAAGAACAUAUGUGUAAGUAACUGUGCACAUCUUGACGGUACCUAAUCAGAAAGCCACGGCUAACUACGUG